ncrna:unclassified sequences Glutamine riboswitch
AUCGUUCAAUCUAUUAUAAAUAAUAGAUCGGAAGUAAGCUUAAGCUGAAGGAACGCAGA